rnacentral:rRNA from 1 species
UACGGGGGGGGCAAGCGUUGUUCGGAAUUACUGGGCGUAAAGGGCGUGUAGGUGGCCAACUAAGUCCGACGUGAAAUCCCCAGGCUUAACCUGGGAACUGCGUCGGAUACUGGAUGGCUUGAAUUCGGGAGAGGAAUGCAGAAUUCCAGGUGUAGCGGUGAAAUGCGUAGAUAUCUGGAGGAACACCGGUGGCGAAGGCGGCAUUCUGGACCGAUAUUGACGCUGAGGAGCGAAAGUCAGGGGAGCAAACGGG